AAGUCGUAACAAGGUAACCGUAGGUGAACCUGCGGUUGGAUCAUUACUGAUUAUUGUUUCUAUGGAGUGAUACCUUUACGGAGUCCUCCAUAGAGACUAACUACCCCUUGUGCACCAAAAUGUUUUUUGGGUCACGUAAGGUAGGGUAAAGUAAGCGAAAGCAUACAUUAUUCUACUGGUGGCCCAGUUGUAAAGACCAUAUCAAUUGUCUGAAAUCUCUAUAUAAAAUAGAAACAACUUUUGACAACGGAUCUCUUGGCUCUC
rnacentral:misc_RNA from 1 species